rnacentral:rRNA from 1 species
AUUGAACGCUGGCGGCAUGCUUUACACAUGCAAGUCGAACGGUAACAGGCCGCAAGGUGCUGACGAGUGGCGAACGGGGGAGUAAUGCAUCGGAACGGGCCCAGUCGUGGGGGAUAACUACUCGAAAGAGUAGCUAAUACCGCAUACGAGCUAUGGAUGAAAGCGGGGGACCGUAAGGCCUCGCGCGAGUGGAGCGGCCGCUGUCAGAUUAGGUAGUUGGUGGGGUAAAGGCUCACCAAGCCAACGAUUUGUAGCGGGUCUGAGAGGACGACCAGCCACACUGGGACUGAGACACGGCCCAGACUCCUACGGGAGGCAGCAGUGGGGAAUUUUGGACAAUGGGCGCAAGCCUGAUCCAGCAAUGCCGCGUGCAGGAAGAAGGCCUUCGGGUUGUAAACUGCUUUUGUACGGAACGAAACGGCUCUGGUUAAUACCCGGGGAUAAUGACGGUACCGUAAGAAUAAGCACCGGCUAACUACGUG